GGUGCCGCAAGGCACCAUCCCUGCAGGGAUAAGGGGAGGAACCUAGGCGCCUUAGGUCAGGGCGCAGCGACUGGUGCCGGAGGCAGCCAAUCAGGGCGGGGCUUGCAGACCGGACUGAUGUCCAGAGCCCGGGAACCUUAGGGAAACCAUAAGCAACCUCUGGGUUGGGCUUGCGGCGGGGCGGGGCGGGGCUGAAGGUGUGGCAGCGCCCUGAACCUGGAGAAAGGCUAGUACAUAAACGACUACGUCAGAAUCUGGAGUCAGCUGGAGUGUGCCAGCAGCAAGAUGGCCCUUACCAGAUGCUGGCACCUUCAUAUUUGACUUCCCAGCCUCCGGAACUGCCAUCUGGAGUGAAACUGAAGUCUGCCCAGAGCUGCUGGAAGCCCCAGCUGCCCUGCUGCCCACGGAGUCCUCUGAGGACGACUCCAGAGUCCCUCAACUCCUUGGAGGAGAUAAGCAGCCAACACAGUGUUGUUCAGCAGAUGCCAUCGUCUGCCAUGUAAGUUAAAUAAGGCAGACAGCAGCAGCUAAGGAGAUUUUAGCCUCCUGUUCUAAACAGUAUUUUAGCUUAACAGCAGAAAACGUUUAACAUGUUCCCCCCUCCUAGAAAAACAAGCAAUUUAUCUUCAGGGAGAGGGAGAAAAAGCACUUUCCACCAUUCUGAUGGGUCAUCAAGUUUAAAAGCUCUCUUAUCCCUAAACUUUUAGAGAAACUAACAGAAAGUAUGUUUCCCUUUCCCUGGAGCUUAUUUACCUUGCAAAUCGUUUGUCUGUCCGGAAGUGCUACAAUAAUGGCUACAUAUAUAUUUUUGUUUCCAGAUUCAUUAAUGAUGUCAGAAGUGUAAAACUAAAGGCAGAAGACUGUGGUUUUCAAGAUUGCUCCCCAACUAGGCUUGGCGACCCAUGAAGGCAGAGGACCUUUCUGAGUUAUCUUUGUACCCUGCAUAGUCCUGGCAGAAAAUAGCACCUAAGUCAUUCAUUUAGCAAAUUUUUUAAAACAAUAUUCCUGUCAUGACACAUUCAGCAAUUAUUUAUUUAUUUAUUUAUAUUAUUUUUAGAAACAGGGUCUUGCUCUGUCACCCUGGCUGGAGUGCAGUGGUGCAAUCAUAGCUGCAGCCUCGACCUCCCAGGCUUAAGUGAUCCUCCCACCUCAGUCUGUAGAAUAGCUGGGACUACAGGAAUAUACCACCACAACCCAGCUCAUUAAAAAAAAAGAAUUCUGUAGAGACAAGGGUGUCUUGCUAUGUUUCCCAGGCUGGUCUCAAACUCCUAGCCUCAAGCAAUCUUCUCAUGCUGGCCCCCCAAAUCACUAGAAGUACAGGCAUGAGGCACCAUGCUUGGCUAUAAGCACAUUUUUAAUGAGCACUUAGUAUGUGCCACAUGCUGCAGAUGUAGCCACAAGCCUCUGACCUCACAGACCUCAUAUUAAACAAGUAAACAAGGUAAUUUUAGAUUUUUUUCAGUGCUACAAAAUAAAAACAGGGAAAUAGGAGAGAGAGUAGAGAACAGGACUUUGAGAAGAAAGUCUGGAAUCCCCAAGAAGGUGGGUGUCAGAAAAGAGAUUUGGCACAGACCCCGCCCCGUUUUUUGUUUUUUUUUUUUUUUUAACGACCAGGCCCUGGAAUUUGAACCACCAUCUUUUGGACUGACUCAAAUGCAGAGGAAGCCAGGCCUGCUGCUAACAUUUCUGAGAGGCGGCAAGAGUAUAAAUGGAGAUCCACAUAUGUAUAAAUAAAGAGUGUGAAUCAAGCUAACAAACUGUUUAAUAAAAUAUGAUCUACCCUUUUAGCUUGACAAAUCAACUUUUCAAACACCUGGAAGAACAAGUUUGCACUCAGGAUUCUCAGACUCCUCAGAGUUCUGCACUGGGAUGUGGAAGGGCUGUGCAAGCCAGCCCUUGGGUCCCUGAUCCCUGUCUCCUGGCCUGUGCCUGUCUCUUCUCAGCCUGGCUCCAACUCCCAUUGAGAGGAAGUUCUUGUACACAUAUGAUACUGCAGCCCCUAUGUCUAAUAUUUAUCCAUACCUUCUGCAAACAGCCAGUGUGUGACCACCCUUGGGCUUCCCAGGGGUCUGCAAACUGACAAUACUGACAAAGGGAACCAAGGCAGAGGCUCACAGACUGUAGAAAUGGGCUUGGGGCCAUUUGGGCAGAGACUUGUGGAAUCCCAGGUAAGCAGGGCAUCUUAGUUUGCUUGUGCUGCUUAAAUACUAUGGAAGAGGUAAUUUAUAAAUAUUAGAAUUUAUUUCUCAGAGUUCUGGAGGCUGGGAAGUCCAAGGUCCAGGUCAAGGUGCUAGCAGAUUUGCUGUCUGGUGGGAGCUGCUCCCUCUGCUUCCAAGAUGGCACUUUUUUGCUGUGUCCUCUGGAGGGGAAGAAAGCUUAGACGGGCAAAAGGGGGCAAUUAUCUCUCUGGGACCUCUUUUGUAAAAGUAUUAAUCCAUUCCUGAGGGCUCUGCCCUCAUGACUUAAUCACUUUCCCAAAAUCACAUCUCUUAAUACUACCUCAAUGAAGAUUAAGUUUCCAUAUGAAUUUUGAAGGGGUCACAUUCAAGCCACAGCACAGAGCAUGACCUAGCAGAGGAGAUGCAAGCUCUGGGUGUGCAAGUCCCCUUUGCUCCAUGGACUUCUUGCUUCAUGGGAAGGGAUGUGGCUGGAGGGUACCCCUCUACAGCACAGGGCCCAGAGCACCCCUCUUGCCUUGGGUUUAGGGAUAGUAUAGGUGGUGGUGGUGAGGCUACUUUUGCUCAUUAAGAAAAGCCUCUUUGAGGGGUGGGACCGAGAAUGUCAUUUGAAUGGAAACUUGAAUCAUAAAGAUGAGUCAUACAAGCCAAGACUUGGGAGAAGGGCAUUCCUAAGGAUAUGCCCAGCUCUCAUAAGCUCUAACGAAGAGUCAUCAACUGUGGUGGGUGGAGCCUAAUUAAGAGGAGAAGAAUGGUAAGAGACAAGGUGAGAUGGUCAGGCAGGAGCAGGGAGCCUGGAGGUCAGGUAAGGGGGCUUGACUUUGCCAUGAGUGCAAUGGGAAGCCUCUGGAGGGUUGAUAUGAUUUGAAUUCUGUUACAGCACGAUCACUCUGGGUGCUGUGUGAAAUGGAUGAAUAGCAAGGAGCUGCAGCCAAGAGCAAAUCAACAGAAGCACCACUCAAAAUGCCUCAGUACCCAUUACAUAAGGAUUCUUGUGAUUAAUUCUUCCCCAAAAUUUAGAGCCAAGAAAAAUCCAGCUCUCCUACUGAGAGUUGUAGAUUAGAGCUUCUGUUUCUAAUCUACAAACAAAUGUGUGCAAUGUCUUUUCAUGACAAUUCCAACUUUAUCAUAAGGUUGUCUACUAAGAAACUAGUAGGCAGGUUUCUCUUCUUGUCUAGACCACCUGAAAGCUCAUAGCUGAGUUUGCACUUAUUUGCACAGUAAACUGCUCAUUUAUCAAUCUGGCAUCCAAUCACAACUUUUUAGCUAACUACCUAUAUGUUUUCAUAAACUUUUCUCACACAGUAUAAAUUUUAAAUAAAUAACAAUAGCAAUUAAGUAGUAACAACUCGAGACUGGUAUCUGACUAGUGGUUCUUUCACCAGUGUGUACACUGGAAGUUUUGUUUUGUUUUUUUGAUGUUUGUACAUUGUAAUUGCAGGACAGGUAGUAAGAUGAUUUCAAAUUCACAUUAGCUUUGCUACCACUAAAUUAUGGUGACUGUUUCUAAUUUGCAAACAAAUGUAUGCAAUCUCUUUUUAUGAUUAUCCCGACUUUAUCAAUCAUAAGGUUGUUAUAUUUUAAGACAUAUGAAAAGGUAUAAAGUAUAAUACAGUGAAUACAUAUGUAUCUAACUCCCAGUUUAAGAAAUAAAACAUUAGCAAAUACAGCUGAAGCUCCAUGAAUUCCCCUCCCAAAUCAUACUCCCUUCCCACCCGCAGAGGGAACCUCUAUUCUGAGCCUGGUGUUUAUCACCACCAAGAAUUAAAAAAAUACUUUAACUAUAUAUACACAAGUAUGUACCCCUUAGAAAUGAGUAGUAGUACUGUUUUGUGUGUCUUUACACUUUAAGUAAAUGGUAUAAGUUUUUUCUUGUUUUUGCUCAAAAUUGUUGAUAUUUAUGCCCUUUGAUUCUAUAGCUGAUUGACUUUCACUGUGAGUCAUUCCAUCAUUAUUUCUGUAUUCAUUCUCCUGCUGAAGUACAUUUCAGGUUGUUGCUAUUCUUCUGCUGAUCCCCCUCCCCCCAACACACAUGCUUUUAUUAAUAAAUCUGCUGGAACAUUCUUGCAUACAUCUCCUUAGAUGUGUUGUAUCAUAAACCACAAAAUAUACUGAGCUUUUCAGACACAGGUUCUACAUUAAGUCAUUAUUUUCAGAUUGAUUUACCAUUGCUCAUAUUCAAUCCUUUAGAAUGGCCUCAAGAGGAUAUUUUAUAAUAUUGGAGCACAAUCCAGAGAGGGACAGAGUAAUUUUAAAAAUCAGAAUUAUAGAAUUUUUUUAAAUCCCUGUAAGGUACCAAGGAGCUCACCUAAUCAAACACCUUAAUUUUAUGGACAACAAAACCAAUGCUCAGAGGGGGAAGGAGUUGUGUAGUAGUGAGCACUGGGCUAUCCGGGGAAGCAGAUACCUUCAUUGAGCCUCCACUGUGAUGGACAUGUGUACAAACCAUAAAAAUAAGCCCCUUGCUUUCCCUUCUGUUCUCUAAGCCUCACUAAACAAUGUGCCAUGAAACAUAGCCCACUUGAUGAAGUCCUUCCUGAAUGAAUUACAAUUGUGCUUCCUUUAUCAAUUCAAGCCACACUUUUUUUCAUUUUUGAAGAGUCAAUUUCACCACAGCUUUACUGAAGUAGAAGCAAAGAUCAAAAGAUAAAAUAGAUUUCUUUACCAAGCAUAACUAGAAUAACUAGAUUUACAAAGGACGAUUUUUUAAAAAUCACAAAGGAGAAAAUAGAGCAUCAAGUUGGAAGAAUUUCUCAGAACAAGGAUGAGUUCCCAUGACUGGGAAACUAUUCAGCUUCCUUAGUUAAGAGUGAAUUUUAAAAUCUGCAUUUCAUUUGGUGAGUUUCAACAAGGACUCUUUCCUUGACCAAACCUUAAUCAUGUUCCUCUGAGGCCUCUUCUUGACUAGGCCUGGUCCUGGCCUGCAGAGCCCAGCUCAGCAAGAAUCCCCCGACCCUUAAUACCUAACCAAAUCCUCUUAGUAAUUUCCUAUCCACUGACCCCUUCGCCAUGCCCAUUGGCCAUAAAUCCCCAGCUGUCCCUGCUGCAACCAGAGUCAAGAUUAAUCUCUCCCCUGCUGCAGUAGUCUUGAAUAAAGCCUUCCUUGCCUGUUUAAUUAUGUUUCAUGCUUUUUUUCUUCAACAGAUUCACCUCCCAAUACCAAACUGUCACUGAGUCCUUCAUCCCAAACUGCCUGUAAUUAGGAUGGCCAUGUGUAGCUGUUUACUGAGACAGUCCCAGUGCAUGCCUGACACAGAAGCACAAUUACCAAUGGCUGCCCAAUCUACUCUCAAAAGUGCCUUGGUUUGCACAAUAAAUUGUCUUCACACACAUGAGGUGUGAAAUUUACUGGCUAGAGACACUCAUUAAGAAGAGGACUUUAAAAAUGGUGCUACAGCAAUAUACACAGAACAAAAGAGAGCAAAUUCAUGAAACUAGAACACUCCCUUUUUCAUAGUGCCUCCAGAGGCAUAGUUACAUUUGAUUUGUAUCAUAUUCUAUCCAAGUUAAGUGUUUCACCAUAAAUAAAAAUUGAUUUUCAUGAGUUUCUCAUUCAAACAUAUUCAUACAAUGCCUUUAUUAUGCCUCUCCUUUGGCAACUACAAAUGGGUUUAUUAUAGAACACUGGCCGGAAAUGUGACAUGCAUUCCAGAAAGAGAGGAAG